UACGAAGGGGGCUAGCGUUGCUCGGAUUGACUGGGCGUAAAGGGCGCGUAGGCGGUUCGUACAGUCAGACGUGAAAUUCCUGGGCUCAACCUGGGGGCUGCGUUUGAUACGUGCGGGCUUGAGUUCGGAAGAGGGUCGUGGAAUUCCCAGUGUAGAGGUGAAAUUCGUAGAUAUUGGGAAGAACACCGGUGGCGAAGGCGGCGACCUGGUCCGAUACUGACGCUGAGGCGCGAAAGCGUGGGGAGCAAACAGG
rnacentral:rRNA from 1 species